CAUUCUUUUUUCCUGCACCCUUUCCCGCCAACCGCAAAUCAGAAUUCGCUCUCAAAUUUAUUAGACCUGAGUUUUUGAGUAGCGUUUUCAAAAUCUUCAAACAGAGAAACAGAGAGCUAAACGAUGGAGCUGAGCCUAAGCGGGAACGCUCUCAAAACCUUUGGUCGUUCGAUCACGUGCCUCGCACGUGUAGGCAACGAGCUUGUCAUCCAAGCUUCUCCUUCUCAGCUUGCACUUCAUACACUCAAUUCGUCAAGGUCGGCCUACCAGUCUAUUACAUUUAAGCCGAAUUUCUUUGAUGUCUAUAGAAUUUCCGGUACUCAAGUACAGUGCAGCGUGCUUUUGAAGGCUGUUUGUUCUGUUCUUAGGACGCCUAUUGCAAGUAUAGAUCACUUGACGGUGAAAUUGGCUGAUCCUGAUUCGUCAAAAAUACAGUGGACUUUGGAAUGCUAUAGUGGUAUGAAAAAAGCAUAUUGGAUUACCUGCAAUGUUGAACCCGACAUACAACAUUUGUCUCUUGAUAGGAGAAGAUUUCCAAGUAACUUGGUAGUGAGGCCUCGUGAUCUAAACAGAUUGCUAGCUAAUUUUCAAUCAUCACUUCAGGAAAUUACCAUCAUUGCAACAGAGCCAACAUCCUUACCUUCUGAUGCUGCAAGUGAAAUAGGCGGAAAAGCUGUUGAGCUUAGAAGUUAUAUAGACCCAACAAAAGACAAUGAUUCAUCGUUGCACACUCAACUCUGGAUUGAUCCUAUGGAAGAGUUUGUGCAGUAUAGUCACACUGGAGAUCCUGUAGACGUUACUUUUAGUGUGAAGGAAUUGAAGGCAUUCCUUACUUUUUGUGAAGGCUGCGAGGUUGACAUACACUUGUUUCUUGACAAAGCGGGCGAGCCAAUCUUAUUGGCACCAAAAUUUGGCCUGGAUGAUGGAUCUGGUUCAAACUUUGAUUCUACACUUGUCCUUGCAACCAUGCUUAUCUCACAGCUACAUGAAGGCAAUCCCUCUGAACCUGCACAGGCAGCUACAACAGUACGUGACCAGGCAAUGAAUGGGACAAGGUCUCAAGCACAACAAGAGAGGUUUAGGGCAAAUGUAUCUGAGCACCCAUCUGACCAUACCAGAAUAUGGUCUGACCUCUCAGGAAGUGCAGCAAAGAGCAGUAAUGGGGUUGAAGAAAGGCAGGUUCUAGGACAGCAGAACUUGAAUGCUAGUGAACAGAGGGAUAUUCAAAGGGUUAGCAUGAUGCAGAUUACAAAAGAUGCAACCAUUAAAGAAAGUGUUCCUGCUGCUCCUACUAUCCGACACCAAGUAGAAAAAGACCAAGUUGCCGGGGUGCAAGAUAGGAACCAGAUUGAUGGGCAUGUGUUAUCACAACAUCAUCCAAGUAACUGGGUAGAUGCAGAUGAGGAUGAUGAUGAUGGGGAUGAGAACGAAAUAUGUGUUCAGUCAACACCACCAUAUUAUGAAGAACAGUAAUAAUCAGUUAAUGGCAGGUCUCUUCAUCUUAAUGCUAGGUUGCUGUUUUCUUUGGUCAGGUGCUGUUCUUCAACGUCUGGAUUCAUUUUAUUCUAAAAAAUUUUCAAGGAUUCAAGUAUGUUUGGGGAGAAAAAUCUACAAGGUCAAAAGGUUAGGACAACUAAAAUUAUUACUAUAUGGGGCUGUUUGUUGAGUCGGAAAGUUAAUGGUAUUUCUUUCAAUUGGUUGUAUCUGUCUCUCUUCGUCAUCUCUUCAUCAUCGUCUUAAUUCCAUCUUAAUCACAAUUAAGAUGAGUAAAUGAUAAGACUUUAGAUAAGAAGAUACCUUAUUUCUGAGGGAACAGAGUAAAAAAGGGAAAAUGUUGUUUUUUUUUAAUAAAAUAGUUUUUAAUUAAAAACUA